UACAGAGGUGGCGAGCGUUGUUCGGAUUUACUGGGCGUAAAGGGUGCGUAGGUGGCGCCGCAUGUCGGAUGUGAAAUCCCACUGCCUAAUGGUGGAACGGCAUUCGAAACUGUGGUGCUGGAGUGCAGGAGAGGAGAGCGGAAUUCUUGGUGUAGCGGUGGAAUGCGUUGAUAUCAAGAAGAACACCGGUGGCGUAGGCGGCUCUCUGGAAUGUAACUGACACUGAGGCACGAAAGUUGGGGGAG
rnacentral:rRNA from 1 species